GGAUCUUUAGCUCAGUAGGUAGAGCGUGCGGCUCAUAACCGCUUGGUCACAGGUUCGACUCCUGUAAGAUCCA
rnacentral:tRNA from 1 species